ACUUACCAGGUCCAAACAGCGUGAGGAUUGACAGAUUGAGAGCUCUUUCAUGAUUCGUUGGGUGGUGGUGCAUGGCCGUUCUUAGUUGGUGGUGCGAGCUGUCUGGUUGAUUCCUUUAACGAACGAGACCUUUGUGAGAUAAUAGGUGAAUGAAGAUAUUGCGCAAAGGCUGUUGCUCGCGUAUUGGGGAAGGAUCCGUUCCUCCCUUUACUCCGGGUGGCAGUUGCAAUCUACAUUACACCUUCUUUCUCAGACAAAUGACAAAAAGUCAUUGGAAGUUGGAGGCAAAAACAGGUCUGUGAUGCCCUUCGAUGUUCUGGGCUGCACGCGCGCUACAAUGACAAAGUCAACAAGUUUUUUCCUUGCUCGAAAGGGCUGGGUAAUCUCUAAAACUUUGUCGUAAUAAGGAUCGCUGAUUGCAACUAUUCGGCGUGAAUCAGGAAUGCCUUGUAAUUAUAAGUCAUCAGCUUAUAGUGAAU
rnacentral:rRNA from 1 species